rnacentral:tRNA from 1 species
GCGAACAUAAUAUAAUGGUUAUUAUAUUAGCCUUCCAAGCUAAGUAUGUGGGUUCGAUUCCCACUGUUCGCU